rnacentral:rRNA from 1 species
UAGUCCACGCCGUAAACGAUGUCAACUAGUUGUUGGGCCUAUUAAAAGGUUUAGUGACGCAGCUAACGCGAUAAGUUGACCGCCUGGGGAGUACGGUCGCAAGACUAAAACUCAAAUGAAUUGACGGGGGCCCGCACAAGCGGUGGAGCAUGUGGUUUAAUUCGAUGCAACGCGAAGAACCUUACCAGGUCUUGACAUCCAGAGAAUCUUUCAGAGAUGAGAGAGUGCCUUCGGGAAUUCUGAGACAGGUGCUGCAUGGCUGUCGUCAGCUCGUGUCGUGAGAUGUUGGGUUAAGUCCCGUAACGAGCGCAACCCUUAUCUUUAGUUACCAUCAUUAAGUUGGGCACUUUAAAGAGACUGCCGGUGACAAACCGGAGGAAGGUAAGGAUGACGUCAAGUCAGCAUGCCCCUUAUGCUCUGGGCUACACACGUGCUACAAUGGCCGUGACAAAGAGUUGCUACUUUGUGAAAACAAGCUAAUCUCAUAAACGCGGCCUCAGUUCGGAUU